AGUGGUAUAGCUCAGUGGUAGAGUGUGUGCUUAGCAUGCAUGAGGUCCUAGGUUCAAUCCCCAGUACUUCCA
rnacentral:tRNA from 1 species